AUUACACUGCUGCUUCACACUCAGCUCCCAACCAACACUUUGCAGCAGGGCACGGACCUGCCCGGCGCCAAGAGGCUCUGGGCUCUAGCCUAGCGCACAGCCUCAGAGGUGUGCGCUCACGGGCCCUCCUCCUGACAAUCCAGGAAGCUAAGGAUGGCUGACAGGCGAACACGGUUUUGGUAUAAAUAUCACAUUGCAAAGACACAGUGCUUCCAGCUCUCCACCUGGAUCAUCAUCAAACUUUCUAUCAUCAUGGUAUUUUGUUGACAAACCAUUUGAAAUCCACAAAGUUUUACAUGCAUCUCUAUAUUUGUCUUUCUCUAAUUGUUUCCCAAACUAAAAUAUAAAUUUCCUGAUGAUAAGAACCUGGA